AUUCAGGAUAUUUUUCUGCAACUUGAAGAAACAUGAACCACAUACGUAUAUAGACAAACAUAAACUCCACGCAUACGCAUACACAUAUAUGAACAUGUGCACAAUUUCUAUUAUUGUGUGAUCUUGAGGACGACAAUUUUGAAGGAACACGUUUGGGGUUUCCCUGGCUAGUCUUGAAGUUGUUGUCCCCCCUAUCUUUUCAAGAGUAAGACAUUUGUAACAAUAAUAUCUUGGACGGCAGAGAAGUCGCUUUACAAUCUAUUUAGUCAUAGACUUCUAAAUGGUGCAUUUCAUAAACUAGAAAGCAGUAUAGUGCAUUGACAUCUUUGGUUUGUGUGGCAAGUCUUCAACUUCUUUUCGUCGAGGUAGUGCUGAUAGACAAAUGAAAGGAAGCCCCAAAUAGCUAAAACUAU